rnacentral:rRNA from 1 species
AUUGAACGCUGGCGGCAUGCUUUACACAUGCAAGUCGAACGGUAACAGGGAGCUUGCUCCGCUGACGAGUGGCGAACGGGUGAGUAAUGCGUCGGAACGUGCCGAGUAGUGGGGGAUAACGCAUCGAAAGGUGUGCUAAUACCGCAUACGAACUGAGGUUGAAAGUGGGGGACCUUCGGGCCUCACGCUAUUCGAGCGGCCGACGUCUGAUUAGCUAGUUGGUGAGGUAAAGGCUCCCCAAGGCGACGAUCAGUAGCGGGUCUGAGAGGAUGAUCCGCCACACUGGGACUGAGACACGGCCAAGACUCCUACGGGAGGCAGCAGUGGGGAAUUUUGGACAAUGGGCGCAAGCCUGAUCCAGCCAUGCCGCGUGUCUGAAGAAGGCCUUCGGGUUGUAAAGGACUUUUGUCCGGGAGCAAAUGCUGGUGGCUAACAUCCACCGGAGCUGAGAGUACCGGAAGAAUAAGCACCGGCUAACUACGUGCCAGCCGCCGCGGUAAAAC